UCCAGGGAGGCGUGCCUGGGCGGGACUGGGGAGUGGCGCCCUCAGAUCCUGCAUAUAAGCAGCGCUUUUUUCGGUGCGUUA
rnacentral:pre_miRNA from 1 species